GUGCGGUUGGGUUGUUGGGGGCAGCCUGAGGCCUGAAGGCUGUGUGUGGAGGGGCCGUGAGCUAUGUGGCUGUUGGGGUUGGGGAGGAGCUGUUUGCGGCUGUGGAGCUCCCGCCUCAGGCCACCAUGAGGAGCCCUUCAGCGUAGCCACCGCCUCUGGGAGGACUUGGGCAUCCUUGGCAGCCCAGCUGGGCACGUGCGCUCGCCAGAAAGAC